CGUCUGUUUUGCAUGCAGAAGAUGUGGGGUAAUGUCCUGCAAGUCUUA
rnacentral:tRNA from 1 species